rnacentral:rRNA from 1 species
CACUGCUAUCGGGGUUCGAUUAAGCCAUGCGAGUCGAGAGGGUUCAGACCCUCGGCGCACUGCUCAGUAACGCGUGGAUAACCUACCCUGAGGAGGGGGAUAACCCCGGGAAACUGGGGAUAAUACCUCAUAGGUUUCAGAUGCUGGAAUGCUCUGAAACCGAAAUGCUCCGGCGCCUCAGGAUGGAUCUGCGGCCGAUUAGGUUGUUGUUGGGGUAACGGCCCAACAAGCCCGUCAUCGGUACGGGUUGUGAGAGCAAGAGCCCGGAGAUGGAUUCUGAGACACCAAUCCAGGCCCUACGGGGCGCAGCAGGCGCGAAACCUUUACAAUGCGAGCAAUCGUGAUAAGGGAACCCCGAGUGCCUGAAACCAGGCUGUUCAGGUGUUUAAAAAGCACCUGGAGAAAGGGCCGGGCAAGACCGGUGCCAGCCGCCGCGGUAAUACCGGCGGCUCGAGUGGUGGCCGCUAUUAUUGGGCUUAAAGCGUUCGUAGCUGGGUUGUUAAGUCUCUUGGGAAAUCUCACGGCUCAACCGUGAGGCGACUAA